CAGUCCCAGCAGCUAGCUCUCUCCUCUUUUGCGCACACUCCCCAAUCCUCCAACCCUACAAUCCACAAACAACAAUGGCAGACGGACUUGUUCUCCGCGGCACCAUGCGAGCCCACACGGACUCCGUCACAGCCAUCGCAACCCCAAUCGACAACUCCGACAUGAUCGUAACCGCCUCACGCGACAAGUCCAUCAUCCUCUGGCACCUCACCAAGGAGGAGCGCACCUACGGCGUCCCCCGCCGCAGGCUAACGGGUCAUUCUCACUUCGUUCAGGACGUCGUUCUCUCUUCCGACGGCCAGUUCGCUCUCUCCGGCUCCUGGGACGGCGAGCUCCGCCUCUGGGACCUCGCCGCCGGAAAGUCCGCUCGCCGAUUCGUCGGACACACAAAGGACGUUAUGUCUGUUGCGUUCUCGGUUGAUAACCGUCAGAUCGUGUCGGCGUCUCGUGACCGUACGAUUAAGUUGUGGAACACUCUUGGUGAGUGCAAAUACACGAUCCAGGACGGUGAUGCGCAUUCCGAUUGGGUUUCUUGUGUUAGGUUUAGCCCUAACACUGUGCACCCUACCAUUGUUUCUGCGUCUUGGGACAGGUAGAUUUAAAUAUGUUUUUCUUUUAAUUGUUUUUGGUUCAGAUAUGUAAUUCUGGGUUGAAAAGAGUGUUUCUGUGGUGUUGACGUUGUGUGAUUUUUAGGGCUGAACUUCUUUUUCCUUCUGAUUAUAAAUAGUUUGGAAAAUGCGCUUUUUUGUGGAGUGUGUUGUGUGAUUUAUAGGGUUUUGAAAGAAAGACCAUGUUUUUGCAAUAAUUAUUGGAUUAGCAUCGGGAAGUAAGAUUUUUGCCCUCUUAUUACAUUUGUUUAUUUUGACAUUUAUAAUCAUAGAAAACGAACUUGUUUC